UACCAGUUUCAGUCACUGCAUAGGUUAAUAGUCAAUCUGAAGGUAAUUGUGAUCUUGCUGGCACUUACCUACAUUGUUGAAUCUACAAACUGAUGGAAAGUUGAAUAUUUGUAUUUAAGCACAAGUGUAACACAUUUUAUACAAAAUAUAUUAAACAUUAUCAGUAUUAUUUCAAAGAAAGCAAGUAGAACUGUAUAUUCCAUCAUCAUAUUAAAAAAAAAAGUUAGUGAGGGAGUUUGGGGUGGAGAAAGAAAUAAAACUUUUGACUCAAGAGUAGACUACUAGCUAAAACAAAAUUACUUCCCAUGGGAGAAAUGCAUCAAUUUUCAUUGUAUUUAUAGAGAGAGAAGGAACAUAACACAAGUUGAAACAUUGGCACUUAUAAAUACCUCAAUACUUGGAUUAAGGACAGACCAAAAUGCAGCAUUCUAGUCAAUGGUAUAACUUGGGUAUUAGAGAAGAAAAAUUCAAUUUCUGGAAACUUUAAAGCCAUGCUAGAACUGAAUCAAAUGAAUAUUUAAAGGACAUACUAAAAUAUCUGCAUAGCCAUGAAGGAAAUUUUAGUUAAAUAUUUACCAAUACAAUAAUCAAGAAAUAAUAUCCUUAAAAUAAUGUUUUGUUAUCUAAUUUAGUGCUGUCAUGCCUACAUGUGUACAAACGCACACACACACACACAUAAACAUAGAUGAAUGAAAAGAGCCCUCUGUACACGAAGCAGAUUAUACAAUUAUUGGAAAACAGUUAAUUCCAUAGUUACUCAAAGAGCAAACAAAUGCAUGAAGUAUAGCCCUGUGAUGCUUCAGAUCAUAUUGUGGAUUAAUGCACAAUAUAUAUAUAUGCACAUGCACACAUAUGACAUUAGUUCAGUUUACUGAACAAAAUAAAGGGCUAGAAACAUUUAGUGCUGAGUUAAACUGUUUAUCGAAUAUAAUCUCUGCCACACUAUAAUAGUGUUUUAGAUCAGAGUUAGACCUUGACUAGAGGUUAAAAAUAAGAGACAAAUUAGUUUUCAAAUAUAGUUAGAAACCAAGAUAAUGAAGGCUAAAGAGAGUUAAAGUCUAGUGUAUGUAAGUUUAUGUUCUUAUAGCAGAAAUGGAGUAGGUGAACGAAAUGAUAUAAUAAAUGUAAAUUAAAUAAAAAUGAAUAUAUAUAUGUGGAUAUAUUCAUAGAGAAAUAUUUGUGGAGAUAAUACGAAAAACUCAGUUUUUGUGAAAUAAAAGAAAAGAAAUAUUGUUUACUAGCUAAAGGGAAGUAACUAUUAUGAACCGUUAGAAACUUGAGUUGUGUUUAUUUAAAAAAAAUCUUUUGUGACUGGAUUGUCAAGUCGCCAUUCAGGGAAGUUAUUGAUGCCUCUGUUCAUGGAAAGAGGGAAGGUUUGGCAUAAAGUGUCAAGGUUGACUGUGAAUUAUGCAUGUGAGCAGAAUAUCAAAGAGUAAUGGUUAUCAUCAGCAUAGGAGUAAGCAUUACUAAAAGUGAUGACAAGCAAUCUUUAACAUAGUAAUGUUAAUAGAUUUGGGGAUUAGAGAGACUCACACCCCACCCAGCAACAGCUUAUCAAAGAGAGUCUUAUGUCACACAAACGCUUACAAAUUGUGAUGACGUCUCUGAAGAUAAGACCACUGAUAAGCGAUAUAGGAGAAUAAGGCCCUAGAUCUGGUAUUAUGAAAGAUGUAUUGUAGUGUAAUUAAGACUUCAGUUGUUGAGAUCAGAAGUGAGAGUGAUAGGCAGAUUAUUGGUAGGAUCUAAGAGUUUACCUUAAACAGAGGUAGGGCACUGUAAUAUGCUCCCAAAGAAGCAUGUCACAUAUUCUAGUAUAGAAAGAAAUAUUGAAAUGUUCAGCAAGACUCAAGAACAUUUGUUUGAGAGUAGUAGAAAAUGCAUGCAUUGUGGAGCUGGCAAAAUAUAGAGCUGCAAAUGUGGAAGAUUUUUCUGUAAGAGUACUGCUUAAAGAGGCACCUUGGUUGAAGAGAGGCAGAUAGCAGGGUUUUGCAAGAUUAGUAAAAAAGAAAUAAAAAUAACUAGUUGCAAUUGGGGAUGCUAGCUUUGGGAAUGCAGUGAUGACUAAAACCUAUUCAGUGGAAUUGAGUGAGUUUCUGCAGACUGGUGGUGUGUGAGUCAGGAUUAAGGCUUUGGUUGUGGGAGGGAUAUGAAGAGAGAUGCUUAGGAGGAUGGCUUUGGUUGCUUAGCUGUCUUAGAUAGAUCAAUGGCGAAGCAUAUUUGCUUUCAGAAAUAGAGCAAAACUAGCAGAUCUCUGACCAGUUACUUUGAAGUAUUAUAGUAUUUUAGGGAGUUGGUUUGUUGUAAGAGCAAGUUGAUGUAUAGCUCAUAGCCUUGACUAAACAGAUGAUUUGAUAGAAGUAUAGAAUGGCGACAAUUUAGUAAAAGUUAGGUUUGGUGGUGAGAAAGAGAUCAAUGGCAAUUUAAAUACCUGUGUGACAGAGAUAUAAGUGAUGACAUUAACUGUUGAAAAAGUGUUUAAAGUGGCACCUUUGCUCUUCUCGACCUUGCUGAAUUUAUUCCACUCUUAACUGCUUCUCCUUUUCUCAGAAUUUUUACCAGUUGAUCACUGGUGUGUUCAUGGGUACCAAGCUGGGCCCUAACUAUGCCAAUUUGUUAGCUUGGUCACGUUGAAUACCAAAUCUAUUUCACCAGAUCUACAACCCUUACCAGUAAACAGCUUAACUUUUCCAUCACUUUUGACAACUUUUAACCCUACCUUAGAUAUCACAAUCACCAUCACUACUACUUCUGUGAAAUUUAUGGACAAUCUGUUUCUAAUGAUUACCCCAAUGUCUCCACCUUUUACUACUUUAUCACUUACCACUCCACUCACACUAAAUCCACUAUCUCUUUCUAACAAUUCAUCUACAUUACUAAUCGACUCUGAGGCUCAGUCAUACCACAUAGUUCACUACUUCUUAAGAGUGGCUGCCCACAACUAAUCAUUGAUACUGCUUACCACUGAAUGCUCAUGCUACUACUCUUCUACUUUGUUUGUUCAACUUCCAACCAUUUUCGCUCUUCACUCACCUACAUUUCUUCUCUUUUACCUCUCCAGAGCACCAUCCCAUGGAACUUUUGUCUCUUUUAGUCUGACAUCACUUCCUACAUUUUGCUCUAUAUAACCUUUCUCUUCCUUCAGUGGAUUUUUCUGUUUGCUCCUGUUGCAACAUCUGUCUCUCUACCCAAGACCUUACGACCUUGCACCAUGUACACCAUUUACUGCAUAAGAUAAAACUCUGUGGUUUGUGGUAUAUUGUAAAGACUAGAUCAACAGUUCAUUUUGGAGAACACCUUUUAGAUGUUCAACACAAGAGCAUCAGAUUUUUCCAACUUGCAAACUAUCACAUUAAUUUUUCUGGUACCUCUGCUUGCAUCUCACCAUCUUUAAUGUUUUUACCCCAAGGAUCUCCUGUUUCAUAUUUGUAUUAUGAACAAUUGAUUUUUCAUUGAAACAGCCUAUCAAGUUGAGGUUAAUAAUCAAGUUGCCUAUCUCUAAUAAUAUUGCCUUCCCCUUAACACUACCAUACACUGAUAAAUACCCUCCUGUGCACUUUAUCUAGCAAAGCAUACUAUUAUGAUUUGUUCAUACCACCUGCAUAGUAGUACAUUACCUCAUCACUAUUUUCAUCUACUCUCUAGAACAUACUCAAGCUUAUACAUCUCAUUUAUCUCAUUCAGCUCUGAAACAUUAGGCUGAAAAGCACCAUUCUACACACUGCCAUUAUAUCCACUUCAAUUUUCAUUUGCCACAGUCGCUUCGCUGUAAAACAUUACAAUUCAUAUAGCA